rnacentral:rRNA from 1 species
AGAACGAACGCUGGCGGCAGGCUUAACACAUGCAAGUCGAGCGCCCCGCAAGGGAAGCGGCAGACGGGUGAGUAACGCGUGGGAACAUACCCUCCGGUUCGGAAUAGCUCAGGGAAACUUGGAUUAAUACCGGAUACGGCCUAGCGGCGAAAGAUUCAUCGCCGGAGGAUUGGCCCGCGUUCGAUUAGCUAGUUGGUGAGGUAACGGCUCACCAAGGCGACGAUCGAUAGCUGGUCUGAGAGGAUGAUCAGCCACAUUGGGACUGAGACACGGCCCAAACUCCUACGGGAGGCAGCAGUGGGGAAUAUUGGACAAUGGGCGCAAGCCUGAUCCAGCCAUGCCGCGUGAGUGAUGACGGCCUUAGGGUUGUAAAGCUCUUUCGCUAGGGACGAUAAUGACGGUACCUAGACAAGAAGCCCCGGCUAACUUCGUGCCAGCAGCCGC